ACGCAGCGAGGAAGGUCCGUGCGGCACUGAGGGUGUGAUCGGAACUCCCUCUGCUCCAGCACCCACGGCGACCCUGACCAGGAUCAGCGGGUAUAGAUAAUGGACGGGUGGAUAUAUACUGUUCGGGUACCUACAGGACGGUCAAUAGCCUACUUAAAAUGAAAACUCAUCACGUGCCGUUAGUUGCUUGUGUUCGUGUGUUGCCUGCUUAUUGAACGCUAUGGCUGCGAUAACGACACGUUCCCCACGGGAAUACCAGAUACAGUAUGCCUAUCUACAGGUUAAUUGGGGACUCAAGGUACGCACACUCGCAUUUUGGACUACCCGGAUGGAUUGUCUCCUAAUCGGCUCCUAUGGGGGCAACGGUGAGCCAUAUUGCAAUGUUCAAGAGAGAACACAGGUGCCAGAAGAAUGAGAAGAGGAAGCUUAGAAAUGAUCUAUGCAAU